rnacentral:rRNA from 1 species
AUUGAACGCUGGCGGCAUGCCUUACACACGCAAGUCGAACGGCAGCACGGGUGCUUGCACCUGGUGGCGAGUGGCGAACGGGUGAGUAAUAUAUCGGAACGUACCUUAUUGUGGGGGAUAACGCAGCGAAAGCUGUGCUAAUACCGCAUAAUCCCUUAGGGGGAAAGCGGGGGACCGUAAGGCCUCGCGCAAUUAGAGCGGCCGAUACCUGAUUAGCUAGUUGGUGAGGUAAAGGCUCACCAAGGCGACGAUCAGUAGCUGGUCUGAGAGGACGAUCAGCCACACUGGGACUGAGACACGGCCCAGACUCCUACGGGAGGCAGCAGUGGGGAAUUUUGGACAAUGGGGGCAACCCUGAUCCAGCAAUGCCGCGUGAGUGAAGAAGGCCUUCGGGUUGUAAAGCUCUUUUGUCAGGGAAGAAACAGCAGCUCUAACACAGUAUGCGAAUGACGGUACCUGAAGAAUAAGCACCGGCUAACUACGUGCCAGCCGCCGCAGUAA